rnacentral:lncRNA from 1 species
AAAAAAAAAAAAGUAAGGAAAAAAUGGGGCUGUGGAGAGGCCGCUCACCAAAUAUUACCAACUUGCAAUAUGAAUCAGCUUUGUCUGUUGUAGAAACUUAUAUUCUAUAUUGUAAUAAUGUUGUGAACGAACAAUAAUUAUCAACACAAAAUAUCACACAUUUGCAGCAAUUGAUGGAUAAGGAUAUGUUACCAGAAAACUUACGGCGCUUUGCUUUCCUUUUUGAAUCUGAGCGCGACCUUUUUGAAGGAUGCCUAGAAUUUGUGUCAACUUGAUCAAGGUUGCGAGAGUUGUGAGUGGGGACCUUGCUGGAAACAUUUUCGUAAUUGAUUCCAGUAUGAGGAAGAGCACUAUUAGUAUCAUCAUAUUCAUCCAUCUGAGUUUGUUGAGAAUCAAGCCCAUCAUCAUACUCAUCAUCAGCAUCAUGUCCCUUUUCGAGAUAUUCAUGAUUAGAUUUCAAAGACGCCUCUUCCUUGUUAACUUCCACGGGAGUAUCCUCAUUAUAGUCUUCAUCCCUUCUCCUAUCAUCUGUAUCCCAAUACCUAGAGUCUCGGCCAUGCGUUACCGAACCCUUGCCAAACCCAAGGACCUUAGAAGUCUGGGUGCGUGUCACAUUUGUGAGAAAGUCUGAAUCAUCUUCCUGAGCAUCUUCACCUGCAUAGAAAAGCAAUCGCUUCAUUCAUGCUCGAACUGAAACUAUGGUAAAAACAGAUCCGAAUGAAAUACCUGAGGAGGAGGGGCUGGUGAGGGAGAGGUAAAAGUAGGCGAGAAGAGUAAGGAGGAGAACUAAGGAGACAAGGACAACAAGGAGAGCAGAGGUGGGGGAGAUUCUAACUUGGGAUCGACCCGAUCGGCGACUCCGACCCGGCGUUCGGAUCCCGAUAGCCACGUCGGAGCCGUUGCCACGUAGUAAUCCGAGCCUCUCCAUCCCUGACUGUCUGUACUGACCCAUUCUCGCAUUGUAUCGUCACCGCCCACACUCCCUUCGGUCCUCCUACUCCUAGCUACUUGUUUUUUUUUUCUCAUUUUCUUUUUCUUUUUCUUUUUACUAGGUGAGAGACAACUUUACAAUCUAUAGGCUUCAACUUUACCAACAUAGUGAGUGAAAAUUAUCCCCUUUAUUCGUUCCCAAAACAAUUACACACCUUUCUAGUCUAUAUGGAAACAAGCAAUCUCACAACAAAAAAUAAGUCAACUACAUUUUACACCUACAUAAAUGGCCAUUUUAAAGUCAUAUGUACAUUAAUUUAAAGUCUCAAUGGCAUUUCAGUCCCAACUCUAACCCUGACACAUGUCACUAAAUGCAUGCCAUCUCAAACUACUCAUUCGUUGACAUGCCAUCUCAAACUUUCAGUGACAUUUUCGCUAGCAAGGAUGUCUGCUCUGGUGCAAUUCCCCAGCUCCGACCCAUCUUGAGUGUCUAGCAUCAGCUCGAAUGGUGGGAGCGGUUUGAUCUGAACCAAGAGGCCUCUCAGGCAUUAUGCAGUCCAUUGCUCCCUUUACUGCGUAUGUCCUUGUCAAUCCAUUCAAAAUUAUGACUCUGUGAGAUCUUCAACAGAUCUUCACCAAUAUCCAAAUCAUCAUCUACCUUCGACUGUGGACCCCACCCUAAUCAUCUGGUUAUGCUUCCCCUGCAGCGGGCAAAGGGGGAGGCCUUUGCACUUCCUCACAAAGUCAUUCCAUGCAAAACACUUCAAGAAAGUUAUUAACGCAACCACAGUGGUAAACAUUGAUCCUGUUGUCCGCUCUGUUCUGCAAAAAAUAGAAAUGGUAUCACUGUAUCAGUAACAUGAAAGAAAUGUGUAUGGUAUAACAAAAAAAGAGUCAAAGCAAUGAUUGAACAAUUAAAAUUGUUAACCAAGGGCUCAUUACACCCAACCCCCCCCCCCCCCCAAAAAAACCCCAAACGAAGUAAAAUGUAUUGCCAGGUCCCUCCAACUGCCCUGUUCCUUUUCUCCAUUAGGGUGGGGGAAACCUUCAGCCAUUGCCCCCACAUGGAAUGAUAUCAACCAAGCACAAGUGCAUGUUAAUCAGUAAAAUUCCCACACUUUAAAUACGUGUUGCAUUAACAAACUAUACAUUUGCAUUGUAUAAUGAGGGAAUGGAUUUCUUCUCAGGGGGUCAUACAAUUUGCAAGACAGUGGAUUUUUUCUCAGGGAGUCAUACAAUUUGCAAGACAAUGGAUAGUUGGAUACCCUCCACCAAACACACCCUAAAUUAACUGCAGUCCUGCUUUGCAUAACUUCAAUCAUAUCUCAGAUGCAUACACUUUACCAGAAUGGUAUUAUUUAGCUAUCUGAAUAAUACACUAAAAACUUGACCUAUUUAGAUCAAAGACGUAAUUUGUUUACCGGACCUUGUACAAUCUGUAAAAGAAGCGCUGGUGCACCUCCAUCAAAAAGCACAACCUCGACUGUUAGUUGAGUGCUUUUGUGUACAAGCAAUCAUUCAUUCAAACCACCACACAGACUAAAAUCUAACACCUCAACAUCCACAUAGCAACAACAACAACAACAACAACAACAACAAAAAAGGAAAAGGAAAAAACUACAGUUAGUCUUUUUUCUGAUCCUUCUAGUGUCAUGUGCUUCAGCUAUAUGUGGCCUCACUACUAAUAAGUGCUGCAAAGUGUGUAGUUGCAGUUACUUCAUCAAUAAUUAUGUGAUAACAAAAGGCUAUAUCCUUGCCAAUUUCAUCAAGAGUGUGUGAGACACCUAAGGAUCGGAAUUAGUACUCACACUCUGGUCAUGUGCCCUCCCCCCCAACAAAAAAAAAACACACAUAUAAUCAAAUAGAUCCAACUAGAGUAAUAUAGAUGGCAUGCUAGAAGAUGUCUGACCUGAUUGGUACCUACCUAUAAGGUACAGAUGAAAGCCAAUUAGUCAUCCAACAAACCAAAGAGAAAUGAAACAAUAGGCCAUUAGUAUCACUGACACAGGAAAUUCUUUCAUUGCCUUCCAAACCGUCCCAUGAUGAUCAUAAACAUCUUAAUGUUUAGAGUGGAUAUGAGAACACGUAGAUGCAGAGAAGAGUUGCCGAAGAGAUGAACCAUAAAGAAGUAACGAUAGUUGCACUGCGUACAUACUAGGAAAUUAGAUUUCUAGUACAAAUGGCAACUUAGAUUUCUAAUAAAAAUGCCAACUUCAGAAAGGAAUAAUAAGUACAAAGUACAAACAAGAAUACAAGGAUUAUUCUGAAAUCCAAGAACAUGUUGUGGGUAAUACAAAUCACACAACCAAAAUAUUUCAAGUUUAGGUACCUGGACAAUGCAUUGUCUUAACCAAGGGCAGUGGUGAUCAAAGUGCUCCACACAGUUGUUGCAGCUAGAACAAUGAGGGUGAUAGCAUACAAGUGCCACAAUACUUCACUCUUACAGGACGUCAUUGAUAAUAACUUCUUUUGUUCUAGGGAACUGAAGAAGUUUGUCUUCCACCAACAUUACAACUCAUUGGUCUUCCACCAACAUCAAUAGACACUGAUGAAUCAUAACAGAACUCUUCCUCAGGUGGAUGUGAGUUUUGUGAUAAUCCCAGGGUCCUGAGCUGAAGUAAGAAAAAGAAGCAUCAACACCCUAUCAAGAUCAACUAAAGAAUUAAAUUAUGCCAAAACAUACGAGUAAAUAGAGAAUGGCAGAAAAACAACACUCAAAACAGAUUAAAUAAGAAAAAAUAAUGAAGACAAAAACACCAAAUAUACAUGAAUCUGAACCAAUGCCUUAUUAUAAAACAUAGUCUGCAAGUGAAUGUUUAUUAUAAAAUUCAAUUAUAAGAAAUUACGUUCCAAAUAUACAUGAAUCUGAACCAAUGCCUUAUAAUCAAUGGAGAAAGAAGAAUUCAUCUACCAUGGCUGUAACUAGCAGAAUAUAAAUAAUUUUGUAUCAACCUGAGUUUCCAAAAAGAAAGGAAGAAAAAACAAACUAAACAUAUGUCUCUUAGAGUUUGAAAAUAAAAAACGUUAACAAUGAAAUACCAUCACCUAACAUGAACUUUACACGCAACUACAAUAUCAUCACCAGGUAAGUAUAAAAUCAAUAUCCCAAGCGAGAAAUAUAAUCAUACAUCUAUAACCAAGUUAGAUUUCAACAAACUACAGUAGAAAAGUUCAGGAUAUAUCCAAGCUCAAGUAGACCUCUGCACAAGUUUUUCUAUCAUAUUCAAAUGCAAACCAUCAAGCUAUAAUAGUCCAUAAAACACUAUUUUUGCACUGCUGAAGUCUAUUAUACUAAAGAUACCGCAUUAUAAAUAUGUAAACUAAGAACCCGUUAACACAUUCAGCCACAAGUAAACCAAAUCACUGCAAUAAUCCCUAAUCUCACAUGAAACCCUUUUCCUCCGACUCUGCCGCCAUCGUCAUCAAGGACCCCAAGAAGCAAAAGGUUGUGGUUUAGUAUGAUGAUGGUUAACGGGGUUAUGGUUUUGGGUUGAAGGGCUGGACCUUUUGUUUCUGACCGCAAUGGAAGCAAUUGGUGUCGGGUUAGCGGGGAUAUCGAAAGCCGGUAUGAUGAUGGUGGUUGUGGCGGUGGUUAAGGUGUGUGAUGGCGGUGAACUGGUCGUGGACCUUAAGUUUUUGUUCUGAAAGGCUUAAAACUUAGGCCCAAUUUUUCAAGAAAACCAAAUGGCCCAGAACAAUUUCAUCAUUUUUCAACUACCUAAUUUGGUAAUUGGACCAAAAAUCCAUGAUAAUAGAGAAAUAUUGCCCCUAUUGAGAUUCAAACCUGGUUGCUCAAAUAGAAUGCAAGCAACCCAACCAUCCCAACUACACGAAGAGAUGCUUGUUUUCUUCAUAUUUUUAUAUUUAACAUAUCUCAUGGUUUAUUUUUUAUUUUUCAUUGGCUUUUUUUUACUAAUCAUAUUUAUUAUCUUAAUUAAGAAGUAUUUUUAGAAAAACAAUAAAAUAGUACUAAUAGGUUUCAAACCCAAAAAAAAACAUUUUUUUUAAUACUUUUUUUAAUAUAAGAGGCUCAUGAAUCAUGAUUCUUUUUCGCACUGGGCCUUUGAUCAUUCAGGACUGGCCCUAGAUGUUAUGCAUGGUUUUGAGAUUUGGAAAUUGCAGUUUAAAUGGGAUUUGGAUUGUUCAAGGCUCCUGGUGAACAAGCCGUGGGGUUCUCUUGCUGGUAUGAUUUCGGCGUUCUCCGGGUUUCUAGCAAAUUGGGUGUCGUCUCUGAGACACCUUGAGUUCGACGCGUGGCUUUGGUCGUUCUGACUCAUCUCUUUUCCUCCCUUGGAAGGUCUGCGACUUGGAUGGAUAAUGAUGGAUUGUUUGCUAUUGUGUUUAUCUUGUUCAGUUUGGAGUUUGUGUGGGUUUGUUUGUAAAGUUUUUCUGUUUCAAUAAUAUUGGACUUCCACUGUCAAAAAAAAAAAAAACUCAUUUUCUCUUGACCGACAAGGUUGGUUACAUGCUCAACUUAACUGCAAGUUCAUUACUCAUAAAAGAAUUAAAUGGUGUGAUCUAUUUGUUGGUGUUUGCUGGUUUUUGUGGAAAUGGAGAAACAAGAAGAUUUUUUAUCCCAACUUCACUUUCCCCUCUUGUCCUUGAAAAAUCAUUCUAAAUGAUGUUGAAGAAUGGAAAUCUACUGCUUUUAAAGCUAAAGUGUUUGUGGAUUGUCAUUAUAAUCUCUUUUAUUGGAAGAAGCCUCCUGAAAACUUUUACAAACUUAAUGUUGAUCCAGUACUAGUAAAAUUGGUGCAUGUGGUGUGAUGAGGGAUCAUAUUUAGUGGCUUCUAGAUAUCUGGUUUUCAUAUUAAUCAUGACAUUGGUGCUAUUGUUGAUGCUGAAGUUAUGGGUGUUUAAUCUUGAGGUUGAGUUUGAUUCUGCUAUCCUCGUGAAAUUACUACAACGAGUUGACCUCUCCCUCCAUCCUCUUGGUUCUCUUAUUGUUUGUUGUCACCAUCUCAGCUCUAGUUUGGAAAAGGAAGGAAAAUGAUUCUUGGCCUUAAUAAGGCCUAAGAUUUUUGGCCUUAAUUUUAGGUGACAUGCUAUGUCACCUAAACACAUCACCAAUUAAAAAGAUUAUGACAUGUCAUUCUUAAACAAAAAUACAAUCAUAUCAUUCCAAAUCCAAUGGCUGUAGAUUAUUUUGUCUUUUUAUUAAGAGAUAAAUUUUUUGUCUUCCUUUUAUAAUUAAAAAAUAUAUAUAUUNNNNNNNNNNNNNNNNNNNNCAUAAUCAUCCAAAAAGAAAUUCAAUAGAGUAUUUUUUCUUUUUUUUUAUUUUAAAAAUUCGAUAAAGAAUAUGGUUUAUAUAUAGAUAUCAUAAUUUUAAACUGUAAAAAUAAAAUAUUAAAAUAAAACUAAAUUUCAAUUCACAAAGAUAGAAGGAAAUUUUAAUAAAUUUACGAAAUUGAUUUAUGGUAUAAAAGCCUAACUUGGUAUGAUUAUUAAUUUGAUCAUUAUUAUGAAUAAAUUAAUUAAAUUUGGUAUAUACGCAUCCAUAUUAAAAUUGUAAGAAAAUAUUCCAUAUCAGUAUGUAACAUCCAUUAAUUAUUAAGGUUAAGAUUGUAUUUUUAUCUAAGAAUGAAAUGCAAUGAUUUAUUAAAUUGAUGAUGUGUCUAUGUGACAUGACAUGCCACAUAGGAUUAAGACCAUAAAUCUUAAGCCUUAUUAAGCCCCUCUAGCACUACCCUUUGGAAAAUUCAAGUUUCAGCCACAUUUUUAGAGUGUGCAAUAUGACUGCAGACUCCCUUGCUAAAUCAAGUAUUGAUCAUGCUCCUGGUCUCAUUACCUUUGAUGAGCCUCCAAUUCAUGUUAUUGCUGUUUAUCUGGAUGAUUUAGAUGGUAUUUCUAGAGCUAGAAAAACUGGGAACUCUGUUAUUUCUUAGUUUUUUCUGUUUUUUAUUUUCUUAGGCCUUAUUGAAUUGCUACUCCCCCUUCUGUAACAAAAAAAACUUUAAUUUAAUUUGAAUAUGCUACUUAAUACUAAAUUAAGUUGAUCUGUUUUCCAUUCUCAAAAAAGAAAAAAGAAAAAGAAAAAAAGAAAGUUGAUCUGUCUGUUUUUCAAUCCAAAAUAAGGAGCACAAAAUAGGGUCAGCAAGCGACCGGAUGUAAAGCACUGCACACAAAAAUCACAAGUCAUCGCAAGUCUCCGUUCUCUGCAACUAUCUCACUCAAGGUCUCUCCCCAAGUCCCUCUUAUGGAGAAAUCGGGGUCGCGAGAGCUACGAUGUGUGGGGAAAUUAGAAAUAGAGAGGCCAAAGCCGGUAGGGUUCCUGUGCGGCUCCAUCCCUGUUCCCACCGACAAACCCUUUCAUUCCGCUCUGGUUCCCUCCUCCACCUCCAAGCCUCCCUCCUCCUCCUCCUCCGUUACUACAGCUCCUCCUCGUUAUCGCAUGCUCCCCACUGAGACUGACCUCAACACCCCUCCCCUUCUCGAUACCCCCUUCCAAUUUUCGGAAUCAAAUCUCGCUAGGAAAUCCGAGGCCCUUGCCGUUUCUGGGUUGGUCGACUAUGGAGAUGAGAUUGAUGUAAUUGCUCCCGCCGACAUUCUCAAGCAAAUUUUCAAAAUGCCAUAUUCCAAGGCUCGCCUUUCCAUUGCCGUUCAGCGAAUUGGCCACACGCUUGUUCUUAAUGCUGGGUUUGUACACGCCAUCAUUGUCUCUCUAUAUACUACCUUAUCCGUUAUCACAUGUGUUUUUCUUUUUGGGUGUAGGCCUGACGUUGAAGAGGGAGAAAAGCUGAUCAGAAGGCGUCAAAAUUGUGCAGAUCAGUCUUUGUUUUUGAAUUUCGCCAUGCAUUCAGUUCGAAUGGAAGCUUGUGAUUGCCCACCAACUCAUCCUGUUACAUCACAUGACCACUCCAAUGCUUCUGUUCGCCCUGGAGUUAAACAAGAUGAAUUCCUUUGGGCAAGUAAGAAAGCCGGAAACAGUGCUGUGAAAAAGGCCUCCCCAGUUGGUGGCAAGCCCAUGUCUUCAAUGCAAGAGUCUGAAAUACAUAAACGAGUUGGUGAUGAUGGGUUUUUACGGGUUUUGUUUUGGCAAUUUCACAAUUUCCGCAUGCUGCUAGGAAGUGACCUGCUUCUGUUCAGUAAUGAAAAAUAUGUUGCAGUUAGCCUGCAUCUAUGGGACGUUUCCCGAGAGGUGAAAGUGAACUACUCUAUACAUUUUCUGUUUCCUCUUUCUUUUUUCCUUUUCCCUCCUAUUCUUUUGUCAUAUUAACUUUCUUGUUUAUCUGCAUCUCAUGACAGGUUAAACCUAUAACUUGGCUUGAAGCCUGGCUAGACAAUGUCAUGGCUAGCGUGCCGGAGAUGGCCAUCUGUUAUCAUAAAAACGGGGUGGUCCAUAGUUACGAGCUUUUGAAAACAGAUGAUAUAUUUCUGCUGAAAGGAAUAUCUGAUGAUGGCACUCCAGCUUUUCAUCCUUAUGUGGUACAGCAAAAUGGCCUGGCUGUUUUAAGGUUCCUUCAGGAAAACUGCAAGCAAGAUCCUGGAGCUUAUUGGGUAAGGAUGUGAUUUAUUUAUUCGAAAUUGGUAUUUGUUUCUAUUUUUUUUCAACAAUCUUUAUUGGUGCAUUUCCAUGAGAUUCAUCCUUUCUAUAAUCUUUCAGCUAUAUAAAAGUUCUGGGGAAAAUGACAUUCAACUGUUCGAUCUUUCUGUUAUUCCAAAGAAUCAUUCUUCUAAUGAUUGCGAUGAUAGCUCAAGCUCUCUGCCCUCUCUAUUGCAUAGACGGAGAAGUGAUUCCUUGUAUUCAUUGGGGACUCUCUUGUAUCGAAGUGCUCACAGGCUCUCACUUUCAAUGGUGUGCAAGACAUUUCUAUUGUAGUCUAUACAUACCCUAUUCACUUACUUAUUUCUUACAAAUAAUUUUUUGUUUGUUUGAAUUGCUGCAGACUCCAAACAAUGUAGCAAAGUGUGCGAAGUUCUUCAGAAAAUGUUUGGAACUUCUAGAUGAGCCAAAUCAUCUGGUAGCAGUGCUACUCGAUUAUUUAUUUUGUUUGGUUAUUGCUUCCGGACUUCACUAAAAAUGAUAACUAUAAUUACUGCAUUGCUGAACAGGUUGUCCGUGCAUCUGCCCAUGAGCAAUUUGCUAGGCUUAUUUUGAACAAUGAUGACGAGCUGGAAUUAACAUCUGAUGUUCUGCCCGCAGAAUGUGAGCUUACAGUUUGCAAUGCUCAAGAAAAAUCUAUAGAAUUUUUAAGUGGUAAUUCUGAAUCGUUAGUCCAUGAUAAGUUAUUAUCUCUAGUUGGAGAGGAAAUGUCAUGUGAAGAUGGACCACGUUUUCAAGAUUUAGUAAUAGGUGCAUCUGUGAACAUGACUCUGGAAGCAAAUGCAUAUCCUCCCAGAAAAUUGAUAACAGCAGGUGACAUGGACUCUGGAGAUUUGUCAGAUUCUGUACCAAGUUUCGCUUGUGAUGAAAGAUCUACAGUUACCAAAUUGCCUCCAACAACCACAGAUGUAGUUCAGAGUAUUGCUGAACCAAUUUCCACAAAACUUGCUGCAAUACACCAUGUUUCUCAAGCUAUUAAAUCUCUCAGAUGGAUGCGGCAACUUCAUAUUAGGGAACCCAAGUUAACAGGCCAGGAUAGUGAAACUCAAGUUGAAACUAGUAGGUCAUCUUCAUCUGUUGAUCUUUCUGUUUGUGCAUGCGGUGAUGCUGACUGUAUCGAAGUUUGUGACAUUCGAGAAUGGCUUCCCACAUCCAAGUUGGACCAUAAGUUAUGGAAGCUGGUUCUUUUGCUUGGGGAAUCUUAUUUGGCACUUGGACAAGCUUAUUUAGAGGAUGACCAGUUACAUCAAGCUUUGAAGGUUGUAGAAUUAGCAUGCUCUGUCUAUGGAUCAAUGCCUCAGCAUCUUGGAGAUACAAAAUUCAUUUCUUCAAUGAACAGUUGCUGGUCUUCACAGGCAAAAAAUAAUAAUAGAAAUAAAAGGUCAAGAUUAUGUAUCCGUGAAGUGGAAUUUUCAAAGAGCUCAAAUGGUGAUUGUCUUACUUUUGAGCAAUUCUCAUCCAUUUACCUCUUCUGGUCCAAGGCAUGGAUGUUAGUGGGAGAUGUGUACGUUGAGUUCCAUAAAGCUAAGGAUAGUAUCAUCUCUGAACUAGAAGAGAGAAAACAUUCUACUUCAGAGGUAAAAGUAUCAUCUGAGGUUGUGAAAGAAGUUAAAAGGCUUAAGAAGAAGCUGGGGCAGCAUGUGCAAAACUGCACUUCAUGUUCUUUAGUAAACUGCAGCUGUCAAAGUGAUAGGGCAAGCAGUGGUAGCAGUGCAAGUAGCAGUAGUGGACCAAGUGGUGAUACACGCUCAGUAAGUUAUGGCAGGAAAUACAUUAAAAGACCAUAUCCUAAGAGUAACACCUCCCCACAUUUGAGAGACCUGGAAGAUGACAGUCAUUGUUUUGAAGUGGAGAAUAAAAACAUACUGGAUGUUGAGUCGACGACGGUUUCUCGGUGCGAUGUUGCUUUGAAAAAAGCUGGGGGAAUAUUCAAGUACCUUGGAGGUCCGGUAAUUGGAGAUGUUGAACACAAUCUUUCAGCAGCCCUAUGCUGUUAUGAAGAAGCUAGAAAGGCAUUAGGUGGUUUUCCAUAUAGCUCAGAAGAGCUACAAUCUGUAAUGAAAAAGAAAGGGUGGGUGUGCAAUGAAUUGGGCCGCAAUAGACUCCAGAGGAAAGAACUGAGCAAAGCUGAAUCUGCAUUUGUAGAUGCUAUAAAAUCAUUCAGAGAAGUUUCUGAUCAUACCAACAUCAUAUUAAUAAACUGCAACUUGGGCCAUGGAAGACGAGCAGUGGCAGAAGAGGUGGUAUCAAAGAUUGAUGGUCUUAAGAUACAUUCCACAUUUCCUAAUGCAUAUGUUCAUGCAUUGGAGACUGCAAAAUUGGAAUAUAGCGAAUCACUCAAAUUUUAUGGAGCAGCAAAGGCAGAGCUGAGUGCUUUCGUUGAAGAGGCUGGCUCUGUGUUAAAUGAUUUGAGGACUGAGGUAUGUACACAGUUUGCUCAUACAUAUCUGAGGCUCGGAAUGCUCUUGGCAAGAGAAGAUAUUACAGUGGAAGUUUAUGGAACAGGAGUGUUGGAAGACAUGCAUGCAGGGUCCACUAGUCCUACUGGAAAAAAAUCAAGAAAAGAAUCAAGAAAGCAUGAAAUUUCAGCAAAUGAUGCCAUUAGGAAGGCUCUGUCUGUUUAUGAAUCAUUAGGUGAACUACGGAAACAGGAGGCGGCAUAUGCUUAUUAUCAGCUGGCUUGCUACCAAAGGGAUUGUUGUUUUAAGUUCUUGGGGCCAGAGCAUAACAGAAGCAACUUAUCCAAUGUUGAAAACAUUAUUCUUCAGCGGGUCAAGCAAUAUGUAUCUCUGGCAGACAGGAACUGGCAAAAGGCCAUGGGUUUCUAUAGCCCAGAAACACAUCCUACAAUGUACCUAACUAUUCUUAUAGAGAGAUCAGAGCUCUCAUUGAGACUUUCAAGCCUCUUACAUUCAAAUCUGGUAUGUUCUUGAACUCUGCGCAUACAUGACUAUUUCUGAAAAAAUAUUGAGUUCUUGCUAAUUACAUUAACCAUUUAAUCCUUCAUGUAGUAUAGUCGUUUCUCCAAUCUAGACAUUUAUAUUGUAGUUCAAGCCUACUUCUGUUCUUUAGGCCCUUUUAUUAACUUAUUUGAGUCAUACACUUUCACAAAAUGAUAUUUACAUGAAAUGGGAAUGUACAGCCCUCAUCUGGAACAAUUUUCUGCUUUGUCAUGUUAGUUCUUAAGUUUCUUGAACCAUAUCUGCAAGCCAUGGGAAAAUUAUAUUUUCUCAUGUUUCUGCUGUCUAUAUUUCCAUUUUCAACUUCAAGGUAGUGCAUUAGAGUUUUACUAGUGGUUACAAUUUAGUAUUCAGUUAUAUGUCGCACCCUAGGCCUGCUCACAUGCAGGAUGAAAUUUAAGGGACAAAACGGGAUACAUACAUUACAGCCGUUAGAUCAUGUCUGAACUAAUCAAAUGGAUGAAAUAGAGAAUCCACUAAAACCCAGUUUUGUUUACACCCUUACCCAAUCAUAUUCCCCAUCUUCUUCUUCCCUCGUCUCAUCUCAGACUCUCCCAUGGCUCAUAUGAACCUCAUGUAGAUUCUUCAAAACCCAGAAGCAAACUCUUAAGAAAACACAGAAAAUGACAUGUCUCACCACUACAACACAAAAUGCACAAACUCUUCAAUCGACACCAAGCAUUAUGAACCCUCAAACAGUCCCGACUAGACCCGCCCCAAGAUCUUAACUCCGCACUCAUCCAAUCCUUCAAAACCUUCAACUAUGACCCAAUUCCUGAAGCUUACAACUUUGUCCACAAAACCCAAACUAAGCCUCCCAACCUCCGAACUAACCCAGAUCCCAUCUGUUCUUGACCGCCUUGAAUCCAUCGAAAAAGUCCACCCACCCGAAUCAAUUUUUGCCAGUCUGAUCAAAUUCUAGGGCGGUGCCAAUCUAAUUGGGGAUGCCAUUGAGUUUUUUACAGGAUUCUCAAGUUUGGGUGUGACCCUUCCUUCUGAGGUGUCGCUCAAUUCAGGAUCCCAAAGGGGUUUUGUGCAUAUCAGUUUUUUAUCAAAGGUUUUUUACAUGGAGGAUCCUCAAGAAAGAGGUAUUUUCGUCUUCAUUGGUAGACAUUUUCUCAAGAAAGAGGAUUUUGCCAUUCAUAUGAUGGUGUGAAUUGAGAGUCUGAGACGAGGGAGAAGAAGAUGGGAAUAAGAUUGGGUAAGGGAGUAAACAAAACUGGGUUUUAGUGGAUUUUCUAUUCUAUCCAUUUGAUCAGUUCAAUCAUGAUCUAACGGCAGUGAUGCAUGUGUCCCGUUUUGUCCCUUAAAUUUCAUCCCGCAUGUGAGCAGGCAUUUGUCGCACCCCAUCUAGAAAUGUACAGUAUCAUAAGAUAUAAAGUAUUUGUGUCAAGAAAAUAACAUGCAGUUAUUCCUUUUACGAUUUUUAUUUAUACGUCAAGAUGAUAAUGCUCUUCUUUUUUUUUCUUGUGGUGGUUUAUUAUACAGUAUUGAAUUCUGAUAGUAAGUACACUAGUGUGAAAUUUUUAGUUAAAUAGGUUACUAGGAAACAUGCAUAUGGAUAUUUGUGCAUUGAGGUUUUGUGGAAUUUGUGCUAAGUUUAGGGAUUUUAAUGGGAGAGAAUUAGGGAUUUGAUUACGGCUUGUUGCAGUAUCAGGUUAGGAAGUGGGGAAAGGGGUGUUUGGUUUGGGAAGAGAGAUCACCUUUUUUCUUUUCCAUCGUUUGUAUAAAUGAUCUCAAAGUCCUUUUUUUUUGGCGGGGAUAGUGUAUCAACUCUUGUGUCACCUGAGGUACAUUCCGUGGUUUGAAGCACCCUUAACAACCUGGAAGUCGAGGAAACAAUUUCUUUCUCAACUGUAGUUGAGAGUGUAGUGCUAGUUCGAUCUGGGUCAGAUGGGAGAAGGUGGUUGUUACUCUUUUGGGAAUGUUAUUUGUGUCAAUCUUGUCCAAAAUAAUUGAUGGACUACCCCACUCUUGCUCUGUUUACUCACUCUCGUGUAAAUUUGGAAGGCUGGAGUACCUCCCAAGGGAAUCACCAUGUGGGGUUGGCAUUCAUUUCUCUUUGGAGAUCCUCUGCUAUGAUUUAGAGGAGAAGGUUUUCGCUUUUUGCAAAGCUGGAGAGGAGAGUGGGAAUCACCUGUUUUUCCUUGUUAAAUUGCUUUAGCUUUCUUGAAAGGCUGUUUCAGGAGACUAUUGUGUGGGGUGGCCCUUUUGAAUGAAAGGAAAAGAGUAUCAGUGGGGUGUGGGGAUAAGAAAGGAAUGGUGUUGGGAAGUUGUUCCAUGGUGGCUAUUUUUUGGUUUAGGAUAUUUCAAAAAAAAGAAAAAGAAACAACAAUUUUCAAAGAUUUGAGGGAAGAAUAUUUCAAGAACUUCUGUGUACCAUUCUGUCUGUCCUGGGCAUCAGUUUCCUUGUAAUUGAGGGUUGGUCCUUUUUUAUUGCAUUUUCUUAAAUUGAAGUGUUGUUGGUUAGUGUCUUUAUUCAUUGUUGGCUUUGUUGGUGCUUCUUAAGCUUUUCGUUUAUAUUACUGGAACUUUUAUCCACUGCUCUGUACAUUUCUAUACUAUUGUGAACUUUUUCCUAUCUAAAAGAUCAAAAUGAAAAUAAAAAGGAUUUGAUUAGUCAGUUGCAUGUGAAGCCUUUGCUAUAAACUUGUAAUACAUUCUUUAAAGAACUCUUCAUAUACGCUUGAACACCAUUACAACUUUUCUAUCACAUGAUGUCUUUUGUUGUAAUACAUUCUUUAAAGAGAACUCUGCACAUACAUUUGAACACCAUUGUAACUUUUCCAUCGCAUGAUGUCCUUUCCAUAAAACUGCAUGUGGUUGCCCUUACACAACUCUUAUGAUCAUUACAAUAGAUGAGGAAAUUAUGUCAUAACAUAAUUCGAGAACUGCUCGUGUACAUACCAUCUAUCUAUAAGUUGAAGUGAUCUUUAUGCCUUUUUAAACAAUUAUUCAUUCGUUUUGAUGACUCAUUUGCUUACUAUCCUGUUUAUCUUCAUGGGUAAUGCUAAUGAGCUUACUGGUAAUUUUAUUUUAGUUGGAAGUUAUAUGAUUUGAUAAUAUGUGGGGAAAAUCAUUGUACUAUGGCUAUUAGUCUUUUGAGGGCAGAAUUUUGUGAUAAAAUGUGGGCAAAAGUUGGGUUUUAAAGGAGAAAAGUAAGCAGUUAAUUUGGGGAUGCAAUGGACUGAAACAACCGGAUGUUAACCUAUUUCAGGUGUACUUGGUAAACUGUUUAUGUUAUCCGGUAUCAAGUAAGCUAUUGACAUUUUCAUUUGCCUGUGUCUAUUUUUUUAUUUUCCAGAUGCUGGAAUCAGCUGUGUCUUGUUUGCUUGAAGGACGGUAUUUGUCGUCAGAAACAGAUUCAAACUUUUUGAAAAGUGUCGACUCUGAGGUACAUGCCAAAUUUUGGAAUCAGUUGCAGAUGGUUUUGAAGAAGAUGCUGGUGGUGACACUUUCAGCAGGUGGCAACAAAUUUUCUGUUUCUCAGCCUCGGCAACUGCAGACUAUAUCCAACAGAUCUGGGGAUGCUGAAAAGCUCAGGGAGCUUUACAAAAUAUCUCUCAAGUGCACGGAGUUGAGUCAGUUGGGUGCUAUGCACACCUUGUGGACCUCUUAAGGUGGGAACUAAUUCAUAGUUACAAUAUACUAAAGUAGAAGCAGAGCUAUGCACACCUUGGUUCAUUUACUGUUCAUCGGGUUCCGCAAAUGAGCUUUCUCCCUCUUUUAUGUUUUUUACGGAACUGCCAUGCUUAUCUCUACCUAUCUAGCUUGCCUCAUCUGAACAACCCAAGAUGUUAUCCAUCCAUUCCAGAAAAUCACUGACUUUGUUGUCAUCCAAAGUUUCAGUAAUAUCCUUUGUUUACAUAGCUUGAAUGGUCUUGACGUGUUUGAAACCCAGAGCCGGAAAAGUUUUAGGGCUUGACACAGUGUAAAGGUGCUGGGAGAAGAUGAUGUGUACACAAAAGAUGGGAGGGUUGAACCCAUUGCAGAAGAUGAUUAUGUAACACCAAAGAUUGGACAGUGGAUUACAUAGGAAACUCAGCAGAAAAAAGUCACAGGAACAUGGCACACUUAUCCUUUUAUCUCAGGUGCUGUUAUAUUAAGAUUUCAAAAUUAGAUGUAGUUGACAUAAACCACAUCCAGAUGUGAGAUGUGCAUGAUUUGAUUGCUGGGUUUGAUUUUUAAAUAGGUAAUGAGCUCAAAUCUGGUCAUUUAUUUCAAGCAACAUCUGCAACAGAGCAACUAAAAGCAACUCAGCUAGGAAAAUUCUUUGAGAUGACGUGAUACUAGAAAAAUCAGAACGUCUUUUUGUAAGUAUUUUUAUGUUUGCUGUAGUAAGAUGUCAGUUUAGAAUUCCUGCAGUAUGUUGAUUUGAGAUAUCUGAUUGAACAUCUCCACAUUUACUUUAGCAGUAGGGUAGCAUGGCUAAAGAUCUAAUAUCUCUGCAUUUACUGAUAAAUUAUAGGCAUAUAACAAACCUGCAACCACUUGCUUGGGAAAACAAGUGAGAGGAUUUGACAUAAAAAAGAGAGACGUAAAAUUAGGUGUUCAUGUAUUAGAAAUUUAACAUUUUAAGCUGCAAAGCUUUACUUGAAAUAAGGGGUGAUUAUUAUAAGUUCUCAAUUGAUUAAAGUUUCCCUUGCAGAGAUUCUUCUAUUCUUUGUGCUGGAUAUUUGAAUAGGAAAGUUAUUCUUAUAUUAACGGUUUACUCUACUUUCAGUUUGAUCUGAUGCGCAAGGCGCGAUGACUCCAAAAGGAUCUUAAUCAAAUUACAGGAACUGUGAAUACCUUAUACUCCAAAGGGUUUGAGCUAUGUUUUGACAGGUGAACUAUCAGUUAGCCUCUUCCAAUUUGAUUUUGAUCUGUUUUCUUUUAUAUACAGUAUAUGCCUUUUCCCUCUUUUUAUUUUUUUAUUAUUAUUUUAAAUUUGGUUUGGCUGCAUACAUGUGUAUGUGCACCAAUUUCAUUGACAUUUGAUAAGAAUACAUUUUGGUCCUGAUUAGUUUCAAAUGGAUAUUACUGCCUCUUAGUAUGUUUAAUCAUGCGAGGGAUUUGAUAGAAUAAUUGUUGCUGGGAAGAACUUUACCUGCUAACACUGGAGCAUUUUCUUAGAACAUAUUAUAUACUAUCUUAACUGUUAUUUAAAUUUUAAUUUGAAAGAAUGAAAGGGUUUGGAAAGGAUAUUGUUUGUUAGUUUUGGUACAAAAUUGACAUAAUACAUUUUCCAGUAAGCUUUUAGGAUUAAUAUUUGUAUCUCUUACCCAAAAAGUCAAGCUAGUGAGCUACUCUUUUUACUUGUAUUUUUCCUUUCCUAAUGCACUUUUACAGUUUCAGGGGCAACAACAGCUUUGCUAUGGAACCUUGAUCAUUAAGGAGCCAGAAGACUAUGAAGUUUAUUGAGAAGAUAACCAUUAUGGAUUGAAACAUACUUGAUCCCACAGUUGACGAGGUAAAGACCACUGGUUAUAAAUAAUCUGCACUAUAACAACUAUGCAGCUAUAAUUGCAGUUAAAAGUGCAAUAUACACAUGAGUUUCUUUGAGUUGCAGGAUAAAUUGUUGCAUUCCAAAGGCACUCUUGACCAGAUUUGUUGCUGAACAAGGAUGAUGGUACAUAAGGCGCCUAAAUACAGCAAGCAGAUGAGUAAAAAGCCGGAUAGUGAAUCCAUGAUGGGCAGAAGCCUUGCAGGUGACACGCUACCAUAAUUCUUUGAAAACAAUACCUGCUGCCUUUUCACCUCUAUAUCAUUUUACCUUGCCAUUUUGCUGUUGUUUUAUCAAAGUUCAUACCGGCACCAAUUUUACAAGGACUGGGUCUGGACCGGUCAAUCUUCCAUCGUGCCCAUUUUUUGUCAAGAAUUCUUAGGUUCGGCAAGAACUGGGCCGGUCCCGUUGGGCCUUCGGUCUUGUUGGGCUUGGUUUGUGGGCCGUAGAAAUUGGACAAAAUAACGUCGAAAAUAUGGGAAAGAGAGGAUUCGAACCUCUCACCUCCCACAUGAGCUCCAAGGCAAGAACCACUAGACCAACUUUACAAGGACCAGGCCUGGACCGGUCAAUCUUCCAAUCUUCCAUCUGGCCCAUUUUUGUUAAUAAUUCUUAAGACCGGCAAGAGCCCGAACCGGCAAGAACCGGGCUGGUCUUGUUGGGCCGGGUUUGUGGGUCAUAGAAAUCGGACAAAAUAAUGUCGAAAAUAUGGGAAAGAGAGGAUUUGAACCUCUCACCUCCCACAUGAGCUCCAAGGCAAGAAUCACUAGACCAACUUUACAAGGACCGGGUCUGGACCGGUCAAUCUUCCAAUCUUCCAUCGGGCCCAUUUUUGUUAAGAAUUCUUAAGACCGGCAAGAGCACGAACCGGCAAGAACCGGGCCGGUCUCGCCGGGCUGGGUUUGUGGGCCGUAGAAAUCGGACAAAAUAAUGUCAAAAAUAUGGGAAAGAGAGGAUUCGAACCUCUCACCUCCCAUAUGAGCCCCAAGGCAAGAACCAUUAGACCAACUUGUGCUUCUAAUUAUUAUAGUACAAAACUUUUCUAUAUUCAGUUGUAUUAUGCAAUACGGAAGAAAUAAUAACCAAAAGUUCAAGAGAGAUUCAAACCUCUCACACUGCUCGCAUAAAAUCCAAUGCGAGUUCCAUUAUGCCAACUUGCUAUUUUUGUUAUUUCAGUACAAAAGUACAAUAUAUUCUCGUCUUAGUUCAAAAAUUAAAACUUAGCCAAUGCCCAUAUCUCGUUUCCUUCUUCUCUCACCUUCUCUCACUCAAGUCUCUUUUGCUUCGAUUGAUUUCGUCCUUUCACGUUUCCAGUUCAUCUUUUUCUUCACAUUUUUUGUUCUUUCUCUUCCCUAAUUGGCCAAGGUCUGUCAUAAAGCUAGUAAUGAUGUCUUGGAGUUGUGGCACAAUACCAAUCAAAUCAACAAAAGAUCUUUAUCAUAUCAUCAUCAAAUUUUCCUCAUCACCAGAAUUAAUGGCAGCCCAGAAUAAAGGAAUACGGUGGAUCCUUGUCCACUAGCUAUCCAAAUCAAAAACCAAACUCUCAUAAAUUAGAACAUGAACUAGAGUAAGAUAAAAACUAAGGAAAAUGCCUAAAUGCACAAAAACAGAAAAGUUAGACCCUAAUCUAAUGAAAAAAAAAGGUCAAAAGCCUAUUCCAAUAAAUCUUAGCAAAAAGACCAGAAUAACCUUAACCUUAGUAAUUGAUAACCACGGGCUCUCAUCUCUCUCUCUCUCUCUCUCCAAUCAGAUCUCUCUCCUCUUUCUAACAUCAUUGGCGAUGACAAACCAUCACCGAUCAAAUCUGACUCGAAUCCGGCUUCCUCCAAUGCCGUCGACGACGGUCUCCACCUCUCCAAACACCUGUACUUCAGGAAGGAUCCAGGCAAGUCGCCGCACAAGCCGUCGUCGGGAAAGGACAAGUCGGUCGUCGGCUGCGCCUACCUCCCGAAGUCGCCUACGGUCUACACUGUGAUAUCAGACCCGAUGAUCGUCGAAAACUCGGACAUCCUAAGUACCAGCCGCACGUGCACACCACCUGCCUUGCCUCGCCGUCGACAAUCCCAACGACAACACAAUUUCACCGGCGAUAAGAACACCCAAGCUCUCAUGGAGCGCACCAAGCACCAUUUAGGUAAUCAAGAUGAGGUCGUCUUUGUGAUUUUGUGUGGUUUUUGAGUUCAAUUCAAUUGAGUCUUAAAAUCUGAGGUUCUAUAGAGUUGAUGAGUUGUUUGCGCCGCUGUGUAUGGAGUUGAUGAGUUGUUUGCGCCGCUGUGGGAGAUUGAGAAGAAUGAGUGGGUACAUCACCGACUGUGGAAUAUAGAAUGGGGAAGUAAAGACAAAAAGAGAGCAAGUUAAUGGUGGAGUGAUUAAUUUGAUAUUAUAUUAGGUAAUAAACAAUUAUUAGAGGUAGUAAAAUACUUUAUUGAAGGUAGUAAACUAUUUUAUAACUAAUUACUGGGUCAGUAACACAUUACACAUUACUAGGGUUAGUAAUAUGAUUAUUGGGAGUCAGUAACUGAUUAUUAAGGGUUAGUAACACGAUUAUUAGGGGUCAGUAACCGGUUACUGGGGUCAGUCAGUAACUAGUUAUUGGGGGUCAGUAAUUGGUUACUAGGGUCAGUAACCAGUUAUUAGGGGUCAUUAACUGGUUAUUGGGGGUCAUUAACUGGUUAGUGAGGAAAUUCCGGUGACCAGAGUCCGGCGUUCGGGGAAAUUCCGGUGACCGGAGUCCUGCGGCCGGUGACCGGAGUCUGAGGUUCAGGCCAAGUCUUUUCAUGUUGAAGAGAUGGGGGCAAAAUAGUCUUAAAAUAAUAUAGUUUGUUAAGACUUAAUAAAAAUUUGGCCAUUUGGGCACAAAAAAAGUUUACUUUCAUUCAAAUGGGAUCAUAUAAAAGAUUGUCAUUAGAAUGGGCAAUGAAGGGUUACAAUUAGUACUAAAUGGGCAUUUUCCCUAAAAACUAAAACUAAUCUAGAGUUUAGAAUCAAAUUUCGAAAUUAGCCCAGAAUCUUAUCUGAAUAGUCGAACAUUCUUGGCUCUAACAUAAGGAGGCUCUCGGGCCAUAAUUUUUUUUCAAUAUCAGAGACCGGGCCCGACCCGGCUGUUACUGGGCCCAGAUCGGACCAUCAAAAAAUAGAAAUGGGACCGGAAAAAAGCCUAGCUCGAGUUGGUCGGUCCGGCUCAAUUUUGUUUUCUUUCUCGGGUUUUAUGUCCACCCCUAGUUUUCUGUCAGCCUCGUUAUGCCUACUUUGUAUAUUUGUGGAUGAAAUUCCAGAUUUUUUUUUUCUACACGUAUGGGGUUACGCUUUGACCGAGUAUGGAACUGAUCAAACCCACAGUUAUGCUCAUAGGAAUAACAACAGAGAAGCUGUUUGGAAUAUCAUGGAUUGUCGGAGAAGCAAACAGUUUGAUCAACAUAUUCUACCAGAAGAGAUUCUUCAAGUACAGGGAUGGAUCAAGCUGAAACAAGAACCUAUGAUUGCCUACUAUAUUUUUGUAUAGGUAGUGAUCCCUAAAAACAAACACAACAGCUGCUAGAACAAUGCACAUGUAAAUAUACGUUUUUGCUAAUAGACAUCCACUAUUUCUGAUAAACAAUGUGGUUUGCAACCUUUGUUAGUUGAAAACUAGAACGUCGUAAUGGGUUGACGCCAUAAACCUAACAGUGAGGAACACGGUCUGUUGCGGAACCGGGUCCCGCGGCUUGACGCAGGCAUCAGACCUAGUACUAUCUAAUGAUCUAGUAUUGUAAAAGUUGAUAGACUUUAAGCUUGUAACACGACUAUGUCGACAGGGUCCCGACUUGAGUCCUGAGUUGUGUGUUAUUUUCUGUUGCUAGUUCUCUGAAUUUAUAGAAGUUCACUCGAAAGCAUAUGGUGUCGCAUAACCAAACUAAAAUUUUCAUGCAAGUUGGAUGACCGACUUCUGGGCGAUCAGAUUGCCGUUUUAAUAGACUGUAUGUAUGUACGGUGGAAGAUCGAACUCCUGGGAUAUGUUUUGGAUUGAUUUCCUGCCAAUUACUAAAUGUUUUGGAUUAAUAGGAUCACUCUCUUCCCCUAAAUGAAAAUAUGCUUCUUGUAAUAUGUUUCUUCUGCCCUCCCUAAUUAUGCGAUGCAGACUGCCAAAUUGCCCUCUAGUCUUUGUGAUAAGUUGGAUAAGCUCAAUCGUGACUUGGUGGUCUUGGCAUUAAAAGAACUUCUGAUAUGAACCAGGCAAUGCUUGCUAAAGCUAAUUGGCGCAUUUGGCAUGAGGAUGUUGGUCUUUGGACUAACAUUUAUAAAGCCAAGUAUUUGAAAAAUCAAAAUCUUAUCGAUGAGCAUUUUUAUGCUCCUUCUGAUUGUUCUAACACCUGAAGGAGUGUUAUGGAUGGUGCUGCCUUGCUCAAGAAAGGUCUUUCUUGGCGCAUUGGAGAUGGAAAAACAACCAAGUUCUGGUGGGCUCUUCCUACUGCUCAUAUUUCUCAUGCUCUCCCAAAUAUCUCUAAUUCUUUCACUCUUGAUUGGCAAGGUUGGUUGCGUGCCCAGCUUAAUUGUAAGCUCAUUACUCAAAGGAAUUAAGUGGUGUGAUUUCUUCAUUGGAGUUUGUUGGUUUUUAUGGAAGUGGAGGAAUAAGAGAAUUUUUGAUACCAGUGGUGUGUUUCCUUCUAAUUCUGGAAAAAUUAUUUUAAGUGCUGCUGUUGAAUGGAAUUCUCAAUUCUGCUGCUGUUAAGGCCAAAGUGGUAAUGGCCUGUGAUUACAACCUCCUUAAAUUAUCUCAGUAUACCUCUCAUGCUUUCCACACCUUCAUUUUAUUUUUAAAUGCAAGCAUUUACCCAUUAGAUCUUCAAUUCAAAUUUCUAAAAUAACCUUGUUUAUAUAAUUCAUAUAUAUUUCAAUAUAUUACUUAUUACACAUCUUAUUUACUCACCAGACCUCCAAUUCUUUAUUUUUUCUUUAUCGAUCAUCAAAAACUCAUUAUCUCUAAAAUAAUUACUCAUGAUAAUUACUUUUCACUCUACAUAUUUCAAUUAUAAUUUCAUUCCUUAAUUUAAAAGCAUCUAUCUUUCAUAUAUCUUUUAAAGUCAAAUAACACAAGGUAUUCGGUUUCAAAAAUUAUUUUUAUCAACAAAACUUACUAACAUGAAUUAGAUUUUCUCUUUCUAUUUUAAUUGUGCUAAACAACGAUCAAGGAUAACUAUUUUUCUCUAUGUUUGUUUUUUUUAUGUAACUCAUUAUAGAUUAUUUAAAUAGUUAUUUAGCUUUCAUCGUUUUUUUUUGCAUAUAUAUAUAUAUUCUUUCACCUUGUAUAUGUAUGAUAAUAUAUAAAUUUUUAUGUCACAUGAUCGAUAUUGAUUAUAGUUUUUGUUUUUAUUAGAUAUAUAAAUGCUUUAAUAAUAUGAAAUAAUAAAAAAAUGAAAAUAUAUAAGAAAAAUAGAAAAAAUACAAUAUGUUAUUAUUGAAUUAAAAAGUCUAAAGAGAAUAAAUAUAUUAUUUAUUUUUAUAUAAUUAUAGUCUUUAAUAAUUAUUUUUUGUCAUUUAAUAACUCAAAACAGAGUGAAGUUAAAAUGAACAAAUUUAAAAAUCUCAGUAACGCACUCUUUGUUCAUGUAUAUGAAAUGAGAACUUUUUCCCUGUGAAUUACUCUGUAAUACUGACCUCUGUUUCUUCAUCAGACUUAACAACGACUUGACAGAGUUGGAGUCGGGAAAAUCACAUUAUUUUCUGAUAAUAAUCAAUUAAACUAUAGACUCAUGAGAGACGAACCCAGAUAAGGAUGCAUAUGAAAUCCUCCCCCAUUUCAUCAUCAUGAACCAAGCUUUCGUAGUCCUUUCGAUCAAGAUUAGAUCUACCUAGAGAGAGAUGCAGAAUCAACAGUCCAAGGAGCGCAUUAUGAUGACUUCAAUUCCGGAGCCAUCCAAGGGGGUGAGUAUUCUUUAAUUUGUAGUUCGAUUUCUUUUCCGACGCUGGAUCUAUUUCUAGAGGCUUAGAACCGAUUCGAUUUUAUUUUUAUUUCUUGGCAAUGAGGAAUGGGACUCUGGGACCGAAUUCUCGAUCUCUGGAUGUCAUCUUUUCAUGGAUAGGUGAAUGAGUUCAACUGUGCAAGUCUGCAGCAGUUUCUGGGUUUGAACUUUGCAUCUAGAAUUUCUGGGUUUCCAAUUUAAACUUUAAUUUCUUUUUCACUUGGACAUUUAGUUUUUUUGUAUGGUUAACUGAGUUUAGAGGGCUGUUAGAUGAGUUGGACAGAAUAGAUAGUUGUCAACAGAUGAGUGGAGAGACGAGGAAGGAGACAGGAAAACUGAGACAGAGGAGGACGUGAGCCACCACAAUAGUUGAUGGGAUUUGAGCAAAAAUGUACUCCAAAGAAAUAGGGGAUUGAAUAGAAGAAGAAGAAAAAAAAAAAAAAAAAAAAACGAGAGAAAAAGGGGAUAGUGGUUCCUAGUCUAACGUAUUUUUAGAAUCGUAAUGCAGAGACAAUGUAAGUAGGUAAAGAUGUAGCAAUAAAGCUAUCCACAUGUGAUGCAUAGAGACUAUGAUAAACAAUUUCUCUCUCCAAACCUUGAAAUGAAUGAGAAAGACAAGGGUAGGGAAGAGGAGGACAUCAUUUAGAAUAUCAAUCUGGGUUGAUUCUGGUAGCAAUAACAAUGAAGAAAGCGAGCACUCAUACAGUAUUACCUUAUGAAACCCCAAAACUGAGAGAUCAUUACCUGAUGGGCAAGAAACUUGGGCAAGGCCAAUUCGGAACCACAUAUCUAUGUACACACAAAACUACAGGGGAAAUGUAUGCUUGCAAAUCCAUCCCAAAGCGUAAGCUCAUUUGCAGAGAAGACUACGAUGACGUUUGGCGGGAGAUUCAGAUCAUGCACCACUUGUCUGAACACCCAUUUGUGGUUCAGAUCAAAGGAACAUAUGAGGAUGCUGUGUUUGUGCAUUUGGUCAUGGAGCUUUGUGCUGGUGGUGAGUUGUUUGAUAGGAUUGUUAAAAAGGGUCAUUACAGUGAAAGAGAGGCCGCUAAGCUCAUAAAGACAAUUGUUGGGGUUGUUGAGGCAUGUCACUCUCUUGGGGUCAUGCACAGGGAUCUCAAGCCUGAGAAUUUCUUGUUUGAUAAUCCUUCUGAUGAUGCCAAGCUCAAAGCCACCGAUUUUGGCUUGUCUAUCUUCUAUAAGCCAGGUCUUUCCUUUCUUAUUUUAAUUCUUAUUAGAUCUGAUUUUAUUCUUUAUCCAAAUGCAAGCUGUAAUCUUCAUAUGAGUUGGAUGAUUUUUUUUCUUUAAUUCUUUUGGCUGGUUAAUCAUAUGGUUUGAUAUAGAUUCAAGUUUCUGUUAUUGAUCCUUAAUUUUCAUCACUAUCACCUUUGUUAUGUUGAAUUAAUAUUUUCAUGAAAUUGGUCUGAAAGUAUGGAACAUUAUUAGGUUUUGUUUGAUAUGUGAUAAAACAUACAACAUGACUAGCUUAUUUUGUUUUACAUUUUUCGUUUCUCUACUGCUCCAGGACAAGUAUUUCAUGAUGUCGUUGGAAGUCCCUAUUAUGUCGCACCAGAGGUGUUGUCAAAGAUUUAUGGACCUGAAGUGGAUGUGUGGAGUGCUGGCGUUAUACUUUACAUUCUAUUGAGUGGGGUGCCUCCUUUCUGGGCAGGUAGUUAUCCUGAUGAGUUACAAUUAUACAACACAGACUGUUAAAAGUAUUAGUCAAAUAUCAUAUAUUGUCUCUGUUGACUCCUUAGCAUAUCAAAGUACUAACAAUUCCUUAUAUUUUUCAGAAACUGAAGCAGGGAUCUUUCGACAAAUUAUGCAAGGCAAAAUAGACUUUGACUCCGAGCCUUGGCCUAGUAUUUCAGAAAGUGCAAAAGAUUUGAUGCUAAAAAUGCUUGAGAGAGACCCAAGAAGAAGAAUAACUGCCCAUGAAGUCUUAUGUGAGUAGCUAUUAUCUACAAAAAAAACAGUAUCAUAUGCUAAACAGGAAAGCUUAUAUCCAUACAGUAGCUAGCUUUGUUAAACUCAUCAACGGGUUUCUUUUGUUGAUCAGGUCACCCAUGGAUUGUUGAUGAUAGGGUUGCCCCAGACAAACCGCUAGACUCUGCAGUUUUAUCUCGACUCAAGCAGUUUUCUGCAAUGAAUAAGCUAAAAAAGAUGGCUCUUCGUGUAAGUCUUAUAAUCGAUCAGUUCACAAUUUUACAUGUUCUGUAAUUUUCCCAGUCAAAAAUACAUUGGCUCGAUUUCGUUAUCCUCCUCACAUCUUCUAUAACUUAUUUUAAAAAAUAUAUAUGUAAUUGCUGGUGAAUAUAUUAAUUUGAAUUUCCAUGUUCUUAUUUCGUUUUAUUGUUUGCAGGUUAUUGCAGAAAGACUUUCAGAGGAAGAAAUUGGAGGUUUAAAGGAGUUGUUCAAGAUGAUUGAUACUGAUAAUAGUGGGACAAUAACAUUUGAGGAACUUAAAGUGGGAUUGAAAAAAGUGGGCUCAGACCUAAUGGAAUCUGAAAUCAAGUCUCUUAUGGAAGCAGUUAAUAGAUCACAAUAAACUUAUAUUAGCAAUAAUAUUUGUAUCCAUUCUUCCUUUCAUAUUUUGGAUUACCCUACUACUAAACUCUUUACUUCCUCAUUGUUGACAGGCUGAUAUAGAUAACAGUGGAACAAUAGAUUAUGGUGAAUUUCUUGCUGCUACGUUACACAUGAAUAAGAUGGAAAGAGAGGAGAAUUUGAUUGCAGCCUUUUCCUUUUUUGACAAAGACGCCAGUGGUUACAUUACCAUUGAUGAGCUUCAACAAGCUUGCAAAGACUUCGGUCUAGGUGAUGUUCAUCUUGAUGAUAUGAUCAAAGAAAUUGAUCAGGAUAAUGUAAGUCUGUUGCUAAUGUUUUUUUCAUGUCCAUUCGCUAUAUAUGUAUCAACCACCAUCACCGCAGUUAACUGCAACAUAUGCUCUUAUUCUUUCUUGUGCAAACUGUCACAACAGUUACAACUUCUAGUUCUACAAUUCUAUUUCUUAGCAGCCUUAAAUAACUACUACAAAAUAGGAAGACAAAGAGAAAUAACUAGAAUAUGCAAAUAAACUUUUGUUGCACUAAAUUCCACAUUAUUGCAGACAUGUUUGAGUUAAUAUAAGAAGUUAAAAGUGGUAGUCGAAUGAAACCUGCAUCUUUAACAUUACAUAUUUCUUGUCAUCUUGUGUAUGCAAUACAUUUUAGAAUACAUGCAUUAUGUUUGGUGCUGCGUGAGAUCAUGAACUAUAAGUUCAAAUGUGGUACAAUAUGUGAUUCAGUUUUUGUGUGUUAAAGCCUAGUAAUUUGAAGUAGAAAACAUUCUGUCUUCCACUCUUGGAAUUCCCAUGCCAUAUUUCUCAAAGUUAUCUUAUAAACAUUUAUACGAGGCACAUUAGAUACAUACAAGCGAUAGAACGUCAUCAAAAUAGUUAGUCUAAUUGUAUCAUUUCACUUGUUACAGGAUGGGCGUAUUGACUAUGGGGAAUUUGCUGCAAUGAUGAGAAAGGGUGGUGAUCAUGGUACUAUAGGGAGGAACAGAACUGCUUCUCGCAAUUUUAAUUUUAAUUUGGCUGAUGCUUUCGGAAUAAAAGAGUCUACAUGAUAGACUAACAAAAAGCAAUGUCUUCUUCACAUGCAAUUGUACUAGGAAUUAAAUAGCUACAACUCUUGUGUUGCUUGAUUAUAAGGGAUCUGUCUAUUUGUAAUGAUUGCUAUCAUUUUGAAGCUCAAAAUCUGUUACUGUUACUAACUCAUUCUGUUGGAUUAUAAGCAAAAACAUAAAAACCAUGAUUACAGAUUUACAGUGUCAUAGGUGAUUCAGUGUGAUACUGUCAUAGGUUCUGUUUGUUUGUGGCUCUUUUAGGGUGGGAAGCAUGAUUCAGUGUCAUACUAAGAUGAUUAGUACUACACCCACUGUGCUCUCAUAUGUCUCUGUAUAGAUAAAGCACAAUUAGGAAUAAGCAGGGUAAAGCACAAUUUGUAUAGACCAUAUUAAUCAAAAAUGUUACCUGCCAAGCCCUGGGUUUGUGACUUGUUUAGCAUGGCCCAUAUUUUAAGGCCCAUACCCAUGGUGGAGGCCUGGCCCGAGGCCCAUUUUAACUUUCUUUGGAAAACUAUCUAAGAGAAUCACUCUAACCCUAAAUCGAAGCAGCACCGCACCGAGAAAAGAAGAUGGGAGUGGAGAAGGAAGUUCUGAGCGCUGGAACUGGUCCCAAACCGGUACCAGGUCAAAAGGUCACCGUUCACUGCACUGGUUAUGGUUAGUUGUUCAAUUUCUUCGUCCUAAUUUGAUUCUGUGCUUUGAUUCCGCUUUUGUGGUUUGAUUUUUACUGUGCUGCUGCUGCUUUGUAGGAAAAAAUGGUGAUCUCAAUCUCAAGUUUUGGAGGUAAGGGCGUUUCAUGUCAAGGAAAGACUUCAUUUGGAAUCGCUCAGACUUGUCUUUUUUGGUUAAAUUAUAUUGUGUUUCGUCUUUCUUGUUUUCUGUAGCACUAAGGACCCUGGUCAGCAGCCUUUCAGCUUCAAAAUUGGCCAAGGUUCUGUUAUAAAAGGUAACUCUCUUGUUUCCUUUAUAUAUGUAGAUGUACACAAAUGGGUGUACAGCUAGUUAGAGAUUCAGACCAAAAAGAAAAGAAAAAGUACCCUGUAUCUAUACAUCUGUUUUUAAUUUUUUUUUUUUGGGGAACCAAUUUGUAGGGUGGGAUGAAGGUGUCCUUGGAAUGCAAGUUGGAGAAGUUGCUCGCCUGCGGGUAUUAUUCAUCUUCUGUUCUUAUUUGAGUUUAUUCAGAUUUACAUCCAAUGAAUACAGUGAAUGUAGAAAAAAUCAUUUGGUUUGUUGUUAAUGACGUGCUCAGAAUCCUCUUUAGGAUAAGAACACUCUUCUCAUUGGGAAUUGAAAUAAAUUUUUUUUUUUAAAUUUAAUAUAUUUUUCAUUUCGGAAAAGAGACAAAAUCAUGAAUUCAAUUCCUUUUUUUUCACCCCAACGAUCAGGAAUUGUAUCUGCAUAAUUCACCCCCAGCACAAAAAGACGAAUGCCAUGUAAGAACAGUCUGCACUAUAAGUUAUUGAACUUCCGAGUGAAAAGAAAAACGAUAAUAUAACUGAAAGCACCUCCUGAACAGGAAUUAUUUUAGCCCAAAGUACCAAUCAACUAACCAACAUAUACUAUCACACUAUGUAUCUAUAGAAUUGAUGUUGCCUCUAUCUAUGUUUCUACAAUUUUAUCUGUAGUAGCUGAUACCAGCAUCUCUUGGUUUCGAGAAUCUGAUUUUAUAACUUUUGGUUUCUAUUAUUUUUCUGCUGUCUUUGUUUUUAUUAUUAUUUUUGUUGUCUCAUGCCAUUUCCAAAACUAAUUGCUUUAAGAUGUAUGAUCUUUUCAUUUCAUUGGUGUGCAUCUUGUAUGUCAGGUAUUAGAAUAAGACUCCAACAUAACGAUUAUGAUUUUGCAGUGCUCUCCAGACUAUGCAUAUGGAUCUGGCGGAUUUCCUGCAUGGGGGAUACAACCUAAUUCAGUUUUGGUUUUUGAGAUUGAAGUUCUAAGCUUGGAGUGACAUCAGGGAAGAGUGGAAAUAUCUGCAAUUCCAUAUGAUGUGUUAUCCUAAGUAGCCUGCUUUUCCAUGGACAUGUCCAAUUUAUAUGAAAGUAAAAUGUUAUAUUCAAAUAUUGGUAAGUAUGGCAUUGUUCAGUGUAUUCUGCGGCAUGGAUCAGCUGAAACUGUACCCUGAUAUGAAAUGAUUUGUCAAGUUUUGGCAUUUCUGAAAAUUAUAAAGCAUUUAUUCUGAUAGGGUGCGUAUGAUCAGCGGAAUUGGAGUAAGAUCAUUGGCAAGUGUUGUCACCUGCAAACCUCUUUAGACUUUUUACUUUUUAGAUGCUCCAUCUUUCUGUUAAUACUUAAAUAGGGGCUAUUAAACAGUCGGCCACGUUACCAGACCGAUGAUUACAUAAUUUCAUAAUAAGACCAAGUGAAAUCAUAAGGAUACCUGUUGUAGUGUUUUCUGAGCCAUCAGUUGGCUUGCUUGAUUUAGGGGUUGCAUGUGAACAGAUAGAGUUGGUGAUUUUGCUAUACCUUGCAUAUGUCUGAUUCAGCAAGUAACUGAGUCUUGUUUUAGAUUUUGAAAUAGAAUAUUCGUUCUAUUAUGUGACAAUCUAGCUCGUAUUAGAGGAUAAAGCAGGUUAGAAAAAAAGAGUAAAAAUGUUUAUGCGGUGUUGGAGGUUGCCUUCAUUCUGGGCUUUGGAUUUAUGUCCUUGACUAUAUGUUAGAUAUGGUUCACUCACCGGAACGAAUAUGUCAAAUACAGCGAAAAAUCUCAUUGACAUGUCUCAUGCUUUAAACCAUCCCUCAUCUAGUCCCAGCUGGAAGAUCUCUCCCAUGUAUAAGGAAUCUGGUCUCAACAAAUCUGAAGUAAAAGAUAUAAAGUACCAUAUGUGAAUCCUACUGGAGCACUCCGAAGUCCGAUCCCAUCCCGUUCCCGAUCGAGAUCGGGCCUUAAAACGACCGUCUUGGAGGACUACAACGCAUGCUGACGUGGUCAUUUCGCUACAUGUUUUUUGACUUUUUAACCUCAUGUCGAAAUUUGACAUGAAAGGAAAUAGCAGUACCAGGUUGGGUAAUAUAUACCGCAGCCAGACACUAUAGUUGAGCGGCGAUGGCGUCUCGGUCACUUUUCGUUAAUCUCAGACGGUAAGCAACAUCAAUUCCGUUAUAUAUAUUCCCAUUUCUCGGUUUGGUUACCUGAACAUGGAAAUCGAUAAUCUUAAUUUGGAAGCUCCAAGAAUCUGAGUUUCUGUUAGAAAAUGCAGUGCGAGCAACACUUGUCUUUCAAGAUCGUUUUGUUCAGGUGCUCUGAGCCAGGAAAUUGACGACCUCAAGUCCAGAAUCUUGAGGGUGAGGCUGCCCAAGAGAAGUGUGACCAACGUUCUUGAGAGAUGGGUCCAUCAAGGCAACCAAAUCACCAUCUCAGAGCUUCGCCAGAUCUCCAAGGAGCUUAGGAUGUCUCAGCGUCACAAGCACGCUCUCGAGGUUUGUACUCUCUAUUCUUCCUUACCAAAUUCAUUGUCUUCAAUAUUUUAGGGCAUAUAUUUGGUGGAGUUUUAUUUUUCUCUCAUAUCAAAACCAUUGGGAUUUUUUUUAGCUAGAACAUAACCAAUAGUACUCAGAUGGUUAUGAAAAUGAUGAAGGAGUGAAACUCUGUCUACUUAGUGCUUAGUGUAGCAGCUGGUUUAACCAUUCUUGAAAAUUCAAGGGUGACUUUCAAGUAUCAUCUUAAGCCACAGGCUAAUCAUUGAGAAAUCGAUGUUGAAAUACCAACCCCAUGAAUUCCCUACCAUUGGAUUACAGUUGAAAGGGAAACUAUGAUCAGUUGCUCAACUGCCUCAAUUUGUAAGAGUAUAUGUUGGGAAAUGUAUCAAAUAAAGAUGAUCAAGUAAUGAAUUCAAAACUUAUGAUUAGUUGCUGCUGUGAUAAUACUUUGUUAGUGAGUUUCUUUUUUUCUUUUUCUUUUUUUGGUUACAAACGGGGCCUAAAAGACCCAAAAAAGAGAAAGAAUAAGAUUUCAGACUAAAAUUUGUUAGUGAGUUCUUUGAUGUCUGGGAAGAAUUUUUGUCUCCAUAUUAUAUGUGCUCGCACGUUAUGGGUAAGUAAUGAGUUUUGGACCCAAAAAAAAAAAAAACAGGUAGGCUGGUCCUGGUUACUUUUUGGGAUAUGCCAUUCAAAAUGUUAUAAUUUUGAGUUAUAUAUGACAGUUGUUCAUUGUUAUAUUUAGUUAUGCGGCAUUCUUGUAUUCUGUUUUUGAUUUUUGAUUUAUUCUUUUAAAGCUCACAAAAGAUUCAAAAAAUUCUGGAACUAGAGGUUUGUUGUUUUCAUAUCUUUUACGGGAAAAAAAAAAAAGCCAGCACCAUUACAUGGGGAGCCUGCAUGAAGGACAUCUCCAGUAUUGACCCAAGGCAUUGAGCAAUUGGUUUUGGUUUGCAGUUUCAUAGUGUGCAGGAGUUUUCAUUAAUUCAAACUAUGUUUUCGGAAACUAAAAAUUUUAUACUCCUUUUUUUGUGUUUUUGUUUUGUUUUGUUUCUUUUCAAACAACGAUCAAAAUUGGAACGGUAACUGUAAUCAUCAUAUGUCUCUUUCAAUUUACAGUAGCAAUCAAAAUUUUCCUAAAAAAUAAGUGAAUUUCUGUUUUGUAAUUAGUACAAAUGUUGCAGGUAUCUGAGUGGAUGCUCGCCCAUAAUGAGUUUGAGUUAUUAGAUUCGGAUUAUGCAGUCCGCCUUGUCUUGAUGACAAAAGUCUUUGGUAUUGAUGCUGCAGAACGGUACUUUGAAGGUUUACCUCCUACUGCAAAAACUAGUGAGACAUAUACUGCUCUCCUUCACUGCUAUGCUGCAGCGAAAUUGACUGAAAAGGCUGAGGACCUCUAUGAGGGAAUCAAGGAUUCUAAGCUGUCCCUUAGUGCCCUUACUUACAAUGAGAUGAUGACUAUGUACAUGUCAGUUGGACAAGUGGAGAAGGUCCCUUUAGUUAUUGAAGAACUAAAAAGGCGGCAGGUUGCCCCAGAUAUCUUCACUUACAAUCUUUGGAUAAGUUCAUGCGCUGCAAUGCUAAAGAUUGAUCAAGUUAGAUGGAUAUUAGAUGAAAUGAGAUAUGAUCCUGGUUUUACUGAAGGCUGGGAGAGAUACAUUAACCUGGCCAAUCUGUAUAUCAAUAUUGGUCAUCUAGUGAAUGCAGAAUCCAACGCCCUGGUUGAACCUGAGAAAGGAAUCACACAAAGCGAAUGGAUAACGUACGACUUUCUCAUUAUUCUGCAUGCUGGUUUAGGAAACAAAGGUAGAAUCGAUCAGAUAUGGAAAUCCUUGAUAAUGACGAAACAAAAGAUGACAAGUAGAAAUUAUACUUGCAUUAUUUCCUCAUAUAUAAUGCUUGGGCAGUUGAAAGAAGUGGGAGAGGUUAUUGAUCAGUGGAAGCUUUCAACCGCUGAAGAUUUUGUUGUUUCUGCCUCUACGAGAAUUUGGAAUGCAUUCAGAGACAUUGGGUUGACAGAAAGAGCCCAAGACUUCCGCACACUUCUGAUUCAGAAUAAUUGUGAUCCUUUGAGUUCAUGAAAGUAGACCUUGAAAAUGAGUUUUGUUUGAGAUAAUUGAACGAAAAAGGAGCCCAUUUUGUGGCGUCUGGACAUCCCGAUGGAAUAAUAAACAGUUGCCCGAAAUUUGCAUGUUUGAUUUGUUUCUUAUUUUCCUGGCAAAAUUGGUAUUCUUCCCAGAGUUCUUCUGUUUAGACUUUUUCCAAAAAAAAAAAAAAAAAAAAACUAGACGAUAAGGAAUAAUCAGAUUUGGAUGUUUCGAAUCAAUUUAUCAUUGCAAAGUACAGAUUAGUUCUCGAAAACUAUUAUUUACGACACGAUGAAGAUGAAGAAUUCCAGUAUCAUACAAAUGAGAGAAGUUUAGUAUCCACUUGCAUUCGAAUCUAUUGCUUCCAGAUUCGUGCACCCACUUUAAAAUGGACUUGGAUCAGUUAUUAUUGAUUUGAUUUCCAUGCAACACCUUUUCCUUGGAAUCGAAAAAUGACAUCGAAGUGUGUAGUUUAUAGAGUACGUAUGAACAAAAAGUCACAAGUUACUUCAGUUUUCCGCAUGCAGGUGCUGCUCUCAAGGUCAGCUAGCUUCAAAAUCUGCGAUCCAUUGUAGUCACCUAGCAGCUGGUUUGGACUUUGGUUGCGUGUUGGGCAUUGGUUUUUCUUUCUUCUUUUACUUUUCAUUUUAUGAGACCAAACGAAAAAAAGAAAAAUAAUAAGUGAAUGAGCUGUUCAUUCGGUUUUGUGUUGGGACUUUUGACUCCCCAAAUCAAUUAAAUUCAGCCGAGCAACGCAUAUAAUAAUUAGAACCUCGAGUUCAUUGAGCGUAGUACGUUUUUUGGCAAUGGCGAAAGCACCUCCUCCAGAACUAGUAGAGAGAUCCCCCAUGGCCAUAGCAGCCAGCAGCAAAGUAGCUCAUCAUCAUCAUCAUCACCAGCGCCCUACUUCUACUAAUUCUAUGUCGUCGUCUUUCUUCUCCCCAAAACUCUCCAUCUACAUCCUCUCUGCCUGCGUCGCCCUCUUUGUCAUCUUCCACAUCCAGUCCCUUCAAACUCCUCUUGAUUCCAUAUCGUCGCUGCCUUCAUGGUCUCUCAAUAAUGUCAUGCGCCGCCAGUGGCAGAGAGUCGACAACAACACCACCACCACGGCGGAAGAGGAGAACAACCACACCGACUCGCUGAACUCACUAAGAGACAGACUCCGGCAAUCAGUCACGUUUCUCCCGCUCAAGGACUUACGUUACGCCCACGCGGCACUCGUCGGGCACACGUGGUUCAUGAGCUCCAUGUACGACUCGAGUGACCAAGAAGGUGAGGUCCAGUACCAGCACUUCCCUUCACAUUCCUCCAGCAACAGACUCCUCUGCCUCAAAGGCCGCGACAGCCACGACGGCUCCUGGAACUCGUACGCCCUCGCGUGGCCCGACGCGCUUCCCCACAACGCAACCCUACUGACCGGCCUCUCCUUCAUUUCCUACAACCACUACGACUACGACAACAUAUGGCACGGCCUGUCCGCCCUCAUGCCCUUCGUCGCGUGGCACAAGAAGCACUCAUGCGCCAAUUCACCCGAGCGGUGGAUUUUGUACCACUGGGGGGAGAUUAGGUCCGGGAUGGCACUGUGGCUGACUAGUCUCAUGGAGGCUACUUUCGGGGGGCCGCCUCUCGUGGAAGUGUUUGAUGGGGUUGAGGAAGGGACGGCAGUCUGUUUCGAGAAGGCGGUGGUGAUGAGGCACAACGAAGGUGGGAUGUCUAGGGAUCAGAGAAUGGAGGUCUAUGAUCUAAUGAGGUGUAAGGCAAGGGCUUACUGUAAGGUGAUCAGCUCAGACCGUCGGAGCAGGGAGAUUGGGAUGACGUUGUUCAUGAGGACGGGGCCGCGAUCCUUCCAGAACGAGAGUGCAGUGGUCGGGAUCUUUGAGAAAGAGUGUGCCAAGGUCCAUGGUUGCCGCUUGAUGGUCGCUCACUCCAAUAACCUCACUUUCUGUGACCAGGUGCGCAUGCCAUAUUAUCAUGGCAUAGAAGACUCGGUAUUUUCCAUUUGUGCAUCCUUAUUACAUGAUCCAUCUUUAUAUAUGAUCGAUCAAGCUCUUAUAUAUUGUCGCAGAUGUGAUAAAGUACGUACAUACAAGAGACAAGAGUGUACAAUAUAUGUUAACUCACGUACGUACGUACAUUGUUGAAUAAUAUAUGUCAGUCUUAUUCCAGGUGAAGCUAAUGAGCAGGACAGACAUAUUGAUAUCCCCACACGGCGCGCAGUUAACCAACAUGUUCUUAAUGGACAGAAACAGUAGUGUGAUGGAGUUCUUCCCAAAAGGUUGGCUAAAACUAGCCGGUGUAGGGCAAUUCGUGUAUCACUGGAUCGCAAGCUGGUCCGGUAUGAGACACCAAGGUGCAUGGCGAGACCCGAACGGCGAGAUUUGCCAGUACAGUGAAGAUGAUCGCCGUUGCAUGUCCCUCUACAAGAACGGAAAAAUUGGAAUCAAUGAGACAUAUUUUUCUGAGUGGGGUAGAAUUACACUUAAUCAAGUAAAGAGAAGGAACAUGGAAGAAGCAGGAAAGGGUGUAAACUUUACUGGCUGCAUCUGUGGGUGACUUUAUGUCUUAAUUUGGAACCCCGGCCAUUUGAUAUAUAUGUAAAUUAGAUAUGCGUUGUUAUUGUUUAACCAGGUUUGUAAUCAUGCAUAUUAAUUAUAUUGUUUGAGCAUAAAGUACUUAUAAUCAGGGUAGAUACAUUUUUGCAAGCUGAUAUCCGUAAACACAUUGGCGCGCAACCAGGGUCUCUAUUGUGUUGGAUUUGUUAAUUUAUUUCUCCAGGAUGUUAGAAUAUUCCUCUGUUAUCUUUCCGGCCAAUAUUGUGGAGCGUAUUUUGGCUUUACCGGUUAGGAACCGUGAUUAUGAUGACAGAUGAAAUUGGAGAGAGUCGUAAAGGUCGUUUUACUGUCAAAUAUGCAUAUCAUGUAAUCCGACGUCGGGUUUUGGAGGAAGAAUGUCCAAUCCUAGUGCGUGUCUUUAGAAACAUUAAAUUAACUUUCUUGAUAAAGCGAAUGUACUUUUGAUUGUUGCAGAUAAGUGUUUUAGUACAAAAUUUGUCGCCUAAGUGUCAAUUUUUGUCACGUUAAAGCAUUCGUCGCCCAAUAGUUAUGGCCUUAACGUGGUGGAGUAAGAACUUAGACGACGGACGCAAAAUAAUGGUCGCCUGAGUCUUCGUUUAGGUGACUAUUCACUUAUCGUUGCUUGAGAAAAAAAAACUGACACAUUAAGGCGUCUAAAUUAUUGUCACUAACAAUAUUGCGACGAUUACAAUUAUUUCGUCGCCUGAUUCUUAAUUACUAAGGCGACAAAAUAAUUAUCUUUCGUCGCCAGAGUUGAUUCUUUUUCGUCUCUGGGUACUUUAAUUCUAUAUUUUGUUUCAAUGCUGUAAAUUAUAUUUAUAAAUUAUUGAAAAAUUCUAACUAUUAUUGAUUCUUGUAAUUAUGCAGCCAAUUUUCAAAUGCACGUUCAAAGUUUAAAGUUCAAAAAACUGUGGAGCAAAUCAAAAUCAUAAUAUAGAAGAAUGCAAGUUCAAACUGAAACAAAAGAUCAAAUUAAACCAAGUUCCAGGAACUAGGUACAGACAAACAAAAGAAAGCAAGUUCAAUGUUCAUAGUUCAACCCUCCCUAAUACCCUAGUCUCCCAUAGUCCUAUAGACACACACACACACAAAGUUCAACAAAAGAAGAGGCAAAUAUCUGAAGUUCCACAAAAGCAAAAAGCCAUGGACAUGUGUUAGCUUCAACCAUCAACCUCAGACUGUUGACAUUCUUGUCGGCUCGGCUGCAACUGCGUAAACUUCUCCACCAUCCGAAGACGAUGCUCGUAAUCAAGGAUCUACUCCUGGGCUACUCGGACCUGCUCCUGGCCUUGUGAUGCCUCCUCCUGAGCUUGUCAGGCCUCCUCUUGGGCUUGUCGGGCCUGCUCUCGAACCUCCUCAAGAACUCUAUCAUUGGGACGGGAUAUCUAAACAUUGAUGAAUGAAAUAACUUUACCAUUCUUACAUUCAACACAGAACAUAAUCAUUUGAAAUCACAAAUGACUUCCAUAACAACCAAUAAUUCAAUAUAUAUAUAUAUAUAUAUAUAUAUAUAAUCACUUUUGCUACAUCAUAAUCACACAUGCAUAUUGUAUCGUAAUCCCACAAACUAAAAUAUCAACAAUAUUUGACUGGAAUUCUUCACCGGAAACUCAUAGGAAAACAUGGAAGAUGUGAUGAAAAAGAGAGAGAAAGAGAUCAUACCAAGCUAAAGCUAAUGGGUAGAGGUUGACAAAGCUUUAUGAUCACCGAAAUGGAAGAAUUUCACACUGAAAUGGCAAAAUCCGAGCAGAAAUUUGAUUUGGCAGCUUUCCCCAUUUUCUCUCGUCUGUUUCAAAUCUGAAAACUAAAUGAGAGAUUAUAAACUGAGUGAGUUUAGUUAGGCGAAGAAGCUUUUUUGUCGCCUUAGAAACUGACUUUGUCGCCUAAGACAACUUCAGGCGACGAAAAAACUUGUUCAGCGCCUUAGUAUAUAGUUGAUAACUUAGGCGACGAAAACAUCUUCGUGGCCUGAUUGUCUACUAAGGCGAUGAAAACAUCUUUGUGGCCUGAGUGUCUAUUAAGGCGACGAAUCAUUUUCUUGUUCGUCUCCUAAGUUUGUUUAGGCCACGAACACAUUUUUGGACGCCUUACUCUGAACUUAAGCGACGAAAAAGAUUUCUUCACUAUAUUUUCAUCGCCUAAACCCUUUUUUCUGGUAGUGUUUGUCGACUCUAAUAAAUGUUUUGUCGGCCCUAAUAAGUGUUUUCUUCCUCCCGUCUUCGCUGAGGUUUAAAAUUGGUUGACUUCUUGAUUAUUUGUAGGACUAUAGAACAUAGAAUAGAGUAGUGGUCCAAUAUAAAUAUAUUAAAUUAAUUUAAUUUAAAUUAUGAAUAGAUCAUUGAAAAAUUAACAAACCCCCGAGACGUGCGUAACUCUCAUUCUAAUAUUUACAUAACCAGACAGCGGCAACAACUCCAAGGGCAACCGAGCCGGCUACGUUGAUCUUGUUCAAAACAACACCUUCACUCGAUGGGCCAGGUGCAGAGGCUGUAGUGGGAGGAACUACCUCAGAGGUAGGUAAUGUUGGGGAUGGUGGAGACUCCAAGGAAGUUUUUGGAGCAGCUUCUGGUGAUGUCUUGGAGCUAGAAGGUGAAGUCUUAGAAGCAGGAGUAGGCUUUGGAGCAUUGUUCCCAUGAGAAGGUGGAGGAGUUUUUGUUGGUGCAGCAGGUGCAGGUGCUGGAGUUGCUGAAGUAGGUGGUUUAGCACCCUCAUUAUCAGGUGAUGCAGCUGGUCUUGAUGAUGAUUGAGAUUGUGUGCCGGAGGAGGCUGCGUUCGUGAAGGCUACCAAUAGUGCAGCCAUCAGAACCGCCACAACAGACCGUGUCAUUGCCAUUAGAGUUUAGAGAGAGAGACCUCUAGGUACUAUUAGGGGGUUUGUGAAUUAAAGAGGUAAAAAGUGAAUGAUGGAUCGAGGAGUAUAAAGAGGGAGCUUUUAUAUAGGAACUCAGUUAAUAGAUGACCAUUGGAUAGUUGAAACAAAUUCAUCUUCAUCCGAAAACCAAGGGAAUUGAGUGGUGGAGAUUUUCUAGCUCCUUGCCCAUGAAAGCAAUGUUUGUCUUUUUUUUGCAAAUUUUAGUUGGUGGUUACAGGUAAAGCUAGGCUAAUGUUAGUAAAGUUAGCCGUAAAACGAGUAGAAUGGAGAAAACUAUAUAUUAAAUCCAACCAUUUUUCUUUUAAUAAAAGAGUCUAUAGUAGGCUAUUUAAAAUAGUUAAUAUUUUGGUCUCGAAAAAUUAAUUACACUAUGAUUUUUAAGGAACCAUUGUUUAAGGGUUAGUUACUGCGUUGUCUAGAAUAAAUUGGAUGAAAGUAUACAAUUACCUUAGAAGGAAAUGGAAGGAAAUAUGGUUGUAUUGAUAAGUUCAGAUCUAGAGAGGACCUCUUUAAACUUGUAAAGUGAGGAUGUUUUCAAUUCUAAUAUGUAUUAUGACAAUCAAAGCCACUCAUCCCCUAAUUACCUACCCACAUAUGAAUCCUACAAAACAUUAGCCAAAAUAAAAAACUGUAGUCGGUAGUUGGGAACUACAUUCCCCGCCCAUAGACCAGUCAUGAAAUUUGUAAUCACGAUGUAUAUCCUACCUCGCCAUGAUGAAAGAUCAUCGGUACCACGUCAAGAAGGUGCUUCUCCAUGCUCCACAAGAAGACACCAUGAUAAUAGUUAUGUAUAGUUUGUCUCACAUUGAUAACAUGUAAAAGGAGAGAACAUUCCUUAGCUAUAAAAAGAAGGUUUCCCAUAUGUAGGAAUGGUGGAAUAUCUCUCUCCUGAUCCCAAAGGCAUUUGGCCAUGAUAAUCGAUUCUAAAGUGGAUGUAGCCAUGUCCUCAGAUGACAUGGUGAACCACUAUAUGUCCUUGCCUCUUGCUCAUGUUGUUUCUUGUUCAUGUUCUUGAUCCACCAUGAUUCUACAUAAUUAUCGGGAUUAUGCAGAAACAUUUAGCACCGUCUGUGGGAAUCAGUACUAAAAGUCUCGUUGCUCUACCAGUAAGCUCAUGCAGGGAGGUCAACCCAAGGUAUCCAAUAUGCAGGCCUAAGCCAUCACGGACCCAACACAUCAGGAGGAAGUAUGCAGGCCCAAGCUACCAAGAGAAUGGCAUGACCCACUCAGGUUCAUGACCCAGCCCGUCUGGGUUCCCUUUUAGCAUCGGGACGUCAGAGAGCCAAGCCGCCUGCCCGGGUUCAUGACUGCUGCCUCCAGCCAUCACCCGGAGAGGAUUCAACGGGACCCGGAGUUCGCCAAUGGCCAAGAUAGACUAGUCAUGUCGGCCGAGAGCUUCGUCGGUGACGACCCAUUCCUCCCGCUGCCCGAUCAUCUUCUUCUCCCGAAGACUCCAACGCCGGGUUUGAUGGUUUCUCUCCCGGAGGCUCCAACGUUGGGUCCGAUGCGGGGUCUGAUGCAUCCCCCGGAGACUCCAAUGUCGGGUCCGACGGCUCCUCUCCCGGUGACCGGUCUCUCGCCAACUAACCUCCCGGUGACGUUGCCUCAAGCCCGUCAACAGCUAGCCUCCCGUUCUCCGGCUAAGGAAAGAAGAGGAAGUCGGUCUGGACACCCGUGAUUCUACUCUGGGCACCCAGCUCGGUAGCAGCUUUCGGGAGCCCAGAGGAUGUCACCCGGAGGCUGUCAGUGGUUUUCUUUCGGGAAAAAAGGAGAAAUUUUAAAUACACACCUCUAAUAUCUUAAUACACAUCUUUUACUUAAUACACCACUUAUCAAAUUUUUCAUUUCAGUAUUAUACUUAAUACACAUCCCAAACUGCCUAAAAUGCCCUUAAUUUAUGAAAUAUUCCGUUAUUUAUAUAAUUAAUAUAUAUUUACUAUUUGGUACCUUUUUUUACAUAUUAUUUCGUCUAAUUUUUGCUAUCAUCAUUCAAUUUAUAAUCAAAUUAUAUUGUUGUUAUAUCCCAACUCCAAAUCACCAAUACAAGUUUUCAAAAUUCACAAGCUAGUACAACUGUAGAAGUAUAGUAGCUAUUAAACAUAGAUAGCUAGUUAUUCGAUAAAACAUGUCAUGAUAAAUAUGCAGUACUUAACAAUAUGAUCUACAAGAUCAAAUUAAAGCUGAUAAAGAUGCAGUAUUUGACAAUAUGAUCUGUAAGAUCAAACUAAAGCUAAAACGGAUAACAAAAAAAAAAAAACAACCCAAAUGAAUUGUGGAGAAGAAUUGGGGUUAAGGAAGAAGACGUACUUUCAACGAUUUUAGGAUAGAAAACGUUGGAAAGAAUACUUUUAGAGCGAUUUUUUUUUUAAUAAUAGAUGUAUAUUUUGGUCAUUUAGCUUACCUAUAAAAUCUCAAUAGAAACAUAAAAUAAUAGGGGUGUGUAUUUAAAAUUUCUCGAAAAGAAAGAUAGUAGGCAGAAAGAAAAAAAAAGGGACGAAAAGGAAGAUGACAAAAAAAAAAANNNNNNNNNNNNNNNNNNNNCAAAAAAAAAAAAAACAACUAUGGACACCGGAGCUAUUUAAUUCCUUGGUCACGAGCGGGAUCUACAGCAGCAGUGCGAACAGCCGAUAAUUACUCAUCGGAUCUCGGUGGCUUCAAAAGAAAAAAAAAAAAAGGAAAGAAAGAAAGAAGCAAAGGAGAGAGAGACCUAUACAACACGGGUAAGGCAACAUGAUUCUAUUCUACGGGAUUCUAACAUGAAGGUGUCCACACUAUUGAACCCUCCUCUGAGUGCACCCAUUCAGCAGCUUACUACAAAGAUAAGUUCUUCGUUUUAUUAUCUUUUAUCGAAAGUUCAAAGCAUGUUUCACGUAUAAGUUUGUGGAAGUAUGCAUGCUCGUGAUGACACUAUGGUAUCUGAUAUGAGUUUAGGGAAGUAUGCAUGCAUGUUAUGGCAUCCUACUAGUAUAACACCAAUGCGGCACAUAUAUCUUUAUUUAUGUGUUAUUGACAUUUGACCGAGAGAUUGGCAUUCGACCGAGAGGCAUAAGACGAGAGAUUGGCAUUUGACGUUCAGUAUUACACAAUUGCAUGAAUCAUUGUGCUUUUAGACAAUUAUUAUGCCAUAACAAUACUUGGUUGGCCCCAUAUUGUGUUGAUUAACUAAAUUAUGUAAGCUGCUAAUCGAUCAUUUGUUCAUUGUGAAGGUACAAUAAUCCUCGCCCGACUGAGUAAUUUUUGAGGCCGGGAGUCGGGAGGGGCAUUUUUUAUCUUAUCGGCGGACUUAAAGAUUACGGUGAAUAUCAAGAAAAGUAAGACUCGGAAUAAGCAAGACCCGUUCAACCCACGUCCUGAGUACGGACUUGGGGGGACUAGGACCGGGUACCCGUUGAUAAAGGACUGGUUUAUGGGCAUUUUAUAUAUCAAGUCCCCACUCAAGACAUGUCUUGAACGGGAGCUUGGAGGGACUUGUAGUCGAUAGUUGGGAACUACCUUCCCCGCCCAUAGACCAGUCAUGAAACUUGUAAACACGAUACCAUGUCAUGGUGAAAGAUCAUCAAUACCACGUCGAAAAGGUGCUUCUCCAUGCUCCUUAAGAAGACACAAUGAUAAUAGUUAUGUAUAGUUUGUCCCACAUUGAUAACAUGUAAAAAGAGGGAACCUUCCUUAGCUAUAAAAGGAAGGUUUCCCAUAUGUAGGAAUGGUGGAAUAUCUCUCUCUCGAUCCCAAAGGCAUAUUGGCCAUGAUAGUUAAUUCUAAAGUGGACGUAGCCAUGUCCUCCGAUGACAUGGUGAACUAUUAUAUGUCCUUGCCUUUUGCUUAUGUCGUUUCUUGUUCAUGUUCUUGAUCCACCAUGAUUCUACAUAGUUCUCGGGAUUAUGCAGAAAUAAAAACAUUUAACCAUUUCAUUAGCAUAAUAUUCGUUUUAAUUUUAUCUAACGGCCUACAAUUAUUUACGAUUAUGCAAUUAGUUGAAAUUUUGUAGACAUGGUUCUUGCAUAUAAAUCUAGAGGAUCAACGGUUAAAAUCGUUAAAUGAAGUCAUCUACUAGUGUAAAAUAGUUAAAGUUCUUAAAUUCUUAAAGUAAGGAGAUCAUCUCUAGAUCCUUUCUC